UGACACCGCCCUAUUUAUACCACAGGCGCUUCGUAACUGGAACCGCAUGUGGUAUAAAAAGUGGGCGCCACCUAUGAGCCUGAUUCUACUAGUGUAGGGUCAAAAGAUUCGUCUCGCGAUUUACAAGCAAACUAUGUUAUUAGUUUUUAUUUUCGUCUACAUUUAACGUUUCAUGCAUGUGCCGUAAGAUUUGAUGUGACGGAGAAUCUUGAAAACUUUUUGAUUUUUAGGGUGAACUACAUAAGGCCGAAGGCCUACCACUCGACCUAUGUGUUGGGUAUUUUAAACGCAAACAGAAAAAAUCCGCAAGCGCACGGAUACCGAUGUAGCCUUCACCCGGGAGUAUUCCAGAGUAUCGAUUUUUCACAGGGAACGUGAGUGUACUAAUUAAGAUCCAAGAUCGCCCAAGGAUAACUAUAUGAAUAUUUUUGGUGGGAAGAGAGGAAGUUUCCUGAGAGUUCUCUAGUUGAUCUAAGAAUCAAGAAUUACUUCAAUAUUAUCUAUUUCGGGACAUCAGAGCACUAACCACAGAAAGAGAUGAGAAGGGGGCUAGGAAGGUCUG
rnacentral:lncRNA from 1 species